rnacentral:rRNA from 1 species
UACGGGGGGGCAAGCGUUGUUCGGAAUUACUGGGCGUAAAGGGCUCGUAGGCGGCCAACUAAGUCAGACGUGAAAUCCCUCGGCUUAACCGGGGAACUGCGUCUGAUACUGGAUGGCUUGAGUUUGGGAGAGGGAUGCGGAAUUCCAGGUGUAGCGGUGAAAUGCGUAGAUAUCGUAAGGAAGACCAGUGGCGAAGGCGGGUCGCUGGACAGUUCCUAACGCUGAGGCACGAAGGUCAGGGGAGCAAACGGG